GACGAACGCUGGCGGCGUGCUUAACACAUGCAAGUCGAACGGAAAGGCCCUGCUUUUGUGGGGUGCUCGAGUGGCGAAGGGGUGAGUAACACGUGAGUAACCUGCCCUUGACUUUGGGAUAACUUCAGGAAACUGGGGCUAAUACCGGAUAGGAGCUCCUGCUGCAUGGUGGGGGUUGGAAAGUUGCGGCGGUUGGGGAUGGACGCGCGGCUGAUGAGCUUGUUGGUGGGGUAGUGGCUGACCAAGGCUUGGACGGGUAGCCGGCCUGAGAGGGUGACCGGGCACAUUGGGACUGAGAUACGGAGCAGACUCCUACGGGAGGCAGCAGUGGGGAAUAUUGCACAAUGGGCGGAAGCCUGAUGCAGCAACGCCGCGUGCGGGAUGACGGCCUUCGGGUUGUAAACCGCUUUCGCCUGUGACGAAGCGUGAGUGACGGUAAUGGGUAAAGAAGCACCGGCUAACUACGUG
rnacentral:rRNA from 1 species